AAAAGUUCACUGGCUGAACUGGAAUCAUGAAGUUCUGCCCCUUGCAAAUUCUUUAUUGGGUAAGAUGCAAGAUUAGCUACAGACUGUUUUUCUGCCAACCAUAUCAGAUGUUGCACACGGCUUGAAAGAAAAGUUCACUGGCUGAACUGGAAUCAUGAAGUUCUGCCCCUUGCAAAUUCUUUAUUGGGUAAGAUGCAAGAUUAGCUACAGACUGUACACCCAUUCCGUUCGCCAUAGCCUCUAUAUUGAUCUCAGUUUUGUGCAAUACAGGGUUAACAUAGCCUGCUGUUGUUGAUAAAGAGCCAACCCAGGAUAAACAAUAACCUCUUGAGGCCCCAAACCACAAUCCACAAGAAUCCACCGACCUCGAUAAUCUCCAUUGCAUGAUAAUGUGGCAUUGCGGAGAACAAGUGAUGUGCCACGUGAGUGUCUGUAAUAUUGUGGAAGACCUUGUUUAGGAUUCCGUAAUUCCUGUCCACAGUUGCUAAAGCUCCUCUCAACCAGUCCCACUCCGAGGAAUCGUAAUGUGGCAACGCAGGGUGAGUAUGCUACAAAACUGUGAUCAACACCAAGAAUCCAUUGACUACGAGCAGUGGAACUCCGUAA
rnacentral:lncRNA from 1 species